rnacentral:misc_RNA from 1 species
GAAGAAAAAAAAAAGAAAAAAAAAACCACUAUAAUCCUAAUUGAGAUAUGCAACAUAUAACCAAUGGUAAUUGAUGAAGAUCAAAUUCAAGUGACAUUACAAAUAAGGCCAGGAUCCAAUCAAACUCUAUAUUUCAAAUGGUAGAGAACAUGCAUGAAGAUACAUGAUAAGAGUCAAAUAAACUAAGAGAGCGUAAUAAACUAGGCCUGUUCAAAAGGUAGGCCAGUCAAGGAUUUUUGGGCAACCAAUAUGACUAGCACCGCACCAAGAUUCAUUCAGCUCAUAGUGUCAUCUACAGACUAUACUCUAUAUGUGCCUAUCCUCUUAGUAAAUAGUAGGAAGUCAUGGAUCAUUCAGUGUCAUUUUAGGCUUUUAUCAUACCAGUACCAAAUUGCAAUGUCAUUUUAGGCCUGUUCAAAAAAUUGUUUGACUCGUUUAUAGGUCUAGCAUAAAAAAAAUUGUAGUGAUGAAAUUGAAACCCCUCCCCUUGCUGUCCCUCUCUCAUCUGCCACCUCCCUUUUUCCAGCCUCUCAUCUGUCCGUGGUUGUUGCCUUCCUCUCUCCACUGUCGAUUGGUGUUGCAGGUGAGAGACACGACUUUUCUCCAUAAAGUUAUCUGAGAGCAAGGCAGGGGAAGCAUUCUAGAUGCUACAUAUAAGAGGAAGGAGAGGCACAAUGUUGUGGAGGAGAUAUAAAGCAAUCCAUGAUGUUGCGGAGGAGAUGGAGAAGAAUCUAAAGGAGCCGCACCAAGCGUUCAGGACAUGGCAGAAUUAUAUAUGGUGGAAGCUCAAGGAUGGCAAUUAAGGGCAAUAUACAGAAAGCCAGCUCCAUUGACUGCAAAGUGCAAAGGAACUCAGGAAGUUGCCAUGGUAUAUUUCUUUUUGAAAGUCUCCUUUACUCCCAAAAAAUAAUUCAAAACCAAAGAACAGAACCAAACAGAUUAGUUCCUUCUUGACAUCAGUUUGGUUCUAGACUUGAGGAAAUUCAGUUAUUUCAAUUUUGAUAAAUUUCAGACACCGACCCAAAACAACUGAUGCACUCCUUUUCCCAAACAGGACAUGUACAACUCUUCUAUUGACAGAACAAUAUGUGCAUCUAGGACUAUAUAUAAGCUGAUUGCCAAAAGGUCAUUGAAAAUCUAAACAAACGGAAAUUUAUUUGAGAAUAUUACAAUUGUGAUGACCAGCAGCAACUUAACAAGUGAUGCAAUUAAAUGAUAUACAAUAAUCAAGAAAACUAAAAUGUAUUUACCACUGAGGCAUGAGCACGAAAACUUGACACCGCAGUUGCAUCCACAAGAUCCCAAAAGUAAAUGUAGCCAUCCUCAGAUCCACCAGUCACAUGAGCAUCAGUGUUGGUGAGGCAGCAAUCCAAUUUAUAUGACUGAAACAAACCAGCCAAAAGAAUAAAUAAUGGACAAUGGAGAAUUUGAACUUAAAGGGUGAAGAAAAAUUAUAUAGCAACCUAUGAACUUUAAACCAAGAAUUGCAAUUAAAACAACAAAUUUCUGAAUUAGAUAAAAGAAAGAGGCAUCAGACCAAGUACAAAGCCAGAUGAAGCAUCAAUAAACUAACCUUACAAGUGUGUCCUUUAUAUUCUUGCAAGAGUUCACCUGUUGAUCUGUCCAUAAGGCGCAAGGUAGAAUCUAGGCAACUUGCUAAGAUACAGUUGCCAUCAUUUGACAUGGAAAUACAGUUGACAGGUUGCCCCAAGUCAUCGACUAUUUCUCUACCCAUACGGAUAUCAAAUGUUCUAACAGUACCAUCAACACUUCCAGCGAUCAUCUCAGUUUUCUUCAAGCAUACAGACAUUACACUGU